rnacentral:rRNA from 1 species
UACGUAGGGUCCGAGCGUUGUCCGGAAUUAUUGGGCGUAAAGAGCUCGUAGGCGGUCUGUUGCGUCGGCUGUGAAAACCCGGGGCUCAGCUCCGGGCCUGCAGUCGAUACGGGCAGACUAGAGUUCGGUAGGGGAGACUGGAAUUCCUGGUGUAGCGGUGAAAUGCGCAGAUAUCAGGAGGAACACCGGUGGCGAAGGCGGGUCUCUGGGCCGAAACUGACGCUGAGGAGCGAAAGCGUGGGGAGCGAACAGG